UUUUUGAAAGACAUCAGACUGGGCUUUAUAUUGAAGAAAAUAAAAGUGCAUGGUACAACCCAAAAGCAAAAGAGAAAUCCAAUAAAACAACAGAACAAAACACGGCCUGAGACUAAAAGGCCCAAAAACUAAGUAGAAAAAUCUAGAUAUUUGUCAAAUAGUCAAAUAGAAUUGAUUGAUGUGCCUAAUCAAUGCCUAGUCAGAUUAUACUGGAACCGUCUUAUCGUCUGAAUACCUUUUCAAAUUUCCUUUUGACAAUUCAGUUUUAGGAAAGCUUGUUCUUUCAUAAACCAGUACUUCUGCUUCGCUUUACUUUCCUUCCAUUUCUUUGUUUCCCCUCCGGUUUCAAUCUGGUUCUCGUCUCUGAUCCAUCCUUUGUUGAACUUCAGCAUACUCUGGAACCCCCAUUUCCAUGUAAGUCUCUUCCUCUCGUUUUAAAGUUUCUGUAGCUAUGAUAUGUGCAAGGGCGUUUGCAGAUCUUAAUGUGUGUUUGAAAAUGAAGCUGCUAGAUCUGCUAAGGCUCUGUUUAAUAUCGUGUAUAUAUGCUCUUAUAUGAGAUCGAUCUUGACUUUUGGUUGCGUAUUUUUUUAUUAUCGUGAGGGAGUCGCCUUCGAUUAUCAUCUUCUGCCAUUGUUGUUCUACCCCUACUUGGACCGCUUUCCUACACGCUAUUGCUUCAGUUGCAAAAGCAGAAAAUACCCCGUGAUGGAUCUCUGAGCAGGAAAAUAGGACAAGCCCUUCUUCAUUUCUGACCACAACCCCUGAGGCAGAUUUAUGGUAAGUCGUAUCAUACGCACCAUCAAAAUUUAUUUUGACAAACUCGCGAGGUGGGUAGCUCCACUUUAUUGUCUCCUUCCUCUUAGCUGAACUUCUUAUUUCUAUCCCAUUCAGUUCAACAGUAUAGUUGUUAAUGAAAUCUGCUAUUUGCUACCCUGUACUGUUUUUCUACUCAUGUACUCUUCUGUUUCUUUCUCCCCAGAUAGCCCACAGUCCACAACUGAAGAUGCGCCUCUGGUACGGGGAGAACUGCUCAAAAAUCCAGGUAAUCCACUGUAAAAAGUCUAUGUUAGGAUUCAAGAAGGCAUUCUGAAUUUUUAAUAGUGUCCAUACUUCCACCGUGACAGGACAUUCACGAAAAACAUGGUCGACUAUGUCAGCUCUUUCACCACACCGAGGGUAAUUUGUAUUACUGACAAUCUGAUGGUGCUGCAUAUUAGCCCUCGUCGGCAGAUAAUUCCAUGAGAUUCUCCAUAUUGUAACCUUAAUUUUGUUUGGUAGAUUUAGGAGCAGUUUUUUUGUAGAAAUUCGUAUAGCCGAUUUGUAAAGCGUAAGCUCUAGGAAUUUCCUCCAAAGUUUGUAAUAGUUUAUAGGCGCUGCGGACCGAAAACUCACCUGAAUACUCUCCUCCCCAGACCAAGAGAUCAUCGUGAGGUGUGCGUGCUAAAGGAAUACGGAGGAUUUUCCUAGCAUCAUCUGUUGAAAAGAUAUUGUUUAUCUCUCUUCCAUACUCUCUCAUUACUGUUGAUUAACGCGUCGACCUUUACAUCUUGCUUAGAAUUAACAACUGAAGAUAACUUAAAGUUAACGACAUCUGGAAUCCAAGCGUCAGCAUUGAUAUAGAUACUUGUACCUGUACCAACCUUCCAACACAUACCUUUUUCCUAAUCACCCUUUGCUGCCCACAUGCUUUUCCAUAAAUAAGAACUGGUUUUUCCCAAAAGAGAAUUUAAAAAAUUAUCUUUCUGAGAAAUAUUUUGCUUUAAAAACUUGCAUAACUGAGGGAAUCCUGAUUUGUAAUAAGCCUCCAUCCCUGUUUAGCUAGUAAUGAAAUAUUAAAUUGCGCAAUAUUUCUGAAGCCCAUUCCCCCCUCCUCUUUUGAUCGACACAAAUUUUCAUUGACACCAAUGUAUCCCUUUCCUCCCCAGACCUUUUUGCCACUAGAAUUUUGCGAAAAUAUUUUCCUACUCUCCACAUAACGAUUUUGGUAAAAGGAAACAAGACAUAGCAUAGGAUGGAAUUGCCUGGAGAACAGAUUUUAUAAAGAUCUGCUUUCCCCCGCGACAACAACCUUGUACUCCAGUUAUCAAUUCUCAACUUAACUUUAUCUUUGAGAUUUUGAAAAGCGUCUUUCUUUCGCCUGCCAACAACAUUAGGUAGUCCUAGAUAUUUUUCCAAAUUUGUGGAUUUGCCUAGCAUCAUCUGUUGAAAAGAUAUUAUGAGAUCUCCCUUCCAUAUUCUCUCAUUACUGUUGAUUAACGCGUCCCUUUACAUCUUGAAUAGAAUUAACAACUGAAGAUAACCUAAAGUUAACGACAUCUGGAAUCCAAGCAUCAGCAUUGAUAUAGAUACUUGUACCUGUACUAACCUUUCAACACAUACCUUUUUUCAAAACACCCUUCGCUGUCCACAUGUUUUUUCAUAUAUAAGAAUUGGUUUUUCCCAAACGAGAAUUUAAAAAAUUAUCGUUCGAAAAAUAUUUUACUUUAAAAACUUGCGUAACUAAGGAAUCCUGAUUUGUAAUAAGCCUCCAUCCCUGUUUAGCUAGUAGUGAAAUAUUAAAUUGCGCAAUAUUUCAAAAGCCCAUUCCCCCCUUCUCUUUCGACCGACACAUAAAUUUCCAUUGACACCAAUGUAUCCCUUUCCUCCCCAGACCUUUUUGCCACUAGAAUUUUGCGAAAAUAUUUUCCAACUCUCCACAUAACGAUUUUGGUAAAAGGAAACAAGACAUAGCAUAGGAUGGAAUUGCCUGGAGAACAGAUUUUAUAAAGACCUCCUUUCCCCCUUGCGACAACAACCUUGUACUCCAGUUAUCAAUUUUCAACUUAACUUUAUCUUUGAGAUUUUGAAAAGCGUCCUUCUUUCGCCUGCAACAACAUUAGGUAGUCCUAGAUAUUUUUCCAAAUUUGUGGAGCAUCGAACACCUAGCAAGCUCGAAGUUUCUUCUUUGUCCCUUUCGGUUAUCUUUGAACUGUAAAAAAUUAUCGAUUUGCCAAAAUUCACACAUUGGUCUAAGCACUGUUCAUAUUCUGUCAAAAUUUCUUUUAAAAUUCUGGCCCCUUUAUGUGGUGCUUCACCAAACAAUAUAUAAUCAUCUGCAAAAAGCAGGUGUGAUAUCUUCGGUCCUCUUCUACUAGCCCUCACUCCCUUCAUUGAUCCCUCAAUAGUUGACAUUCUUAUCAGCGAUGAGAGUCCUUCAUUGCAUAUCAAGAAUAGGAAAGGGCUAAGCAGGUUACCCUGGCGAAGCCCUCUAGUAGGUUUAAAAACAUCUCCUCUUCUUCCAUUGAUAUUCACUGUGUACGAGACUGUGGAGAUGCACUUCAUGAUUAAAUUCACCCACUCCACUGUAAAUCCCAUUUGAAUUAUAACUUCCUUUAGAAAAGCCCACUCAACUCUGUCAUAAGCCUUACUCAUAUAUAGUUUAACUGCCAUAAAUCAUUUUUUCCCAAUACGUUUUUGACGUAGUGUAUGUAAGAGUUCAUAAGCCACAAGCACGUUGUCAGUAAUUAGCCUUCCGGGAAUAAAAACACUUUGAGCCUUGUCAAUGCAUCUCCCAAUAACUUCUUGAAGACGAUUAGCAAUUGCUUUUGCCACAAUUUUGUAUAAAACUGUGCAUAAACUGAUAGGUCUGAAAUUAACAAGGCUUGUGAGAUUUGGCAAUUUAGGAAUAAGCACAAUGUCUGUAAGGUUUAGAGAGUCGAGAUCCCAUCCAUCACUAAGAAUACCCAAACAAAAUUUUUCAACAUUUUUACCUACAAUAUGCCAAAAUUUUUGAAAAAAAUAAAGUUGGAAAACCGUCAUAACCUGGUGCUUUAGUGGGCCCCAUUCCUUUCAAAGCUAAAAUUACCUCUUCUGCUGUAAAAGGUACUAAUAAAUCUGCAUUGAUAUCAGAUGAAACAGUAGAAUUAAUACCUUUUAGAAGGUGGGAUAAACAAUCAAUUCCCUGUGAAGAAAAUAAGUUCUGGAAAUAAUUUGAAGCUGCCUCAUUAAUUGCUAUUUCCCCAGAAAUAUCCCUCCCAUCUUCAGUUUCCAACCUAGUAAUAGUGUUAAUUCGUCUACGAACUGAGGCAUAUUUGUGGAAAAAAAGUAGAAUUUUUAUCUCCUAGUUGAAACCAAUUUGCUCUUGCCCUCUGUUCCCAGUACAUUCAUCUUUGUCGAUUUCCAUGUUGAGUUGAAUUCUAGUAUCAAUCAGCUUUGCCAUUAUGUCAUCAUCCCUAUCACUUGCCAGGAACUCCUCAAGUUCUUUCAUGAGCUUAUUCUUUAACCUGUCUCUACCCUUUUUUAUGGACCUAGCCCACCUAGUCAAACCAAUCUGUAACCUUUCAAAUUUAUCGACAAUAUCUCCAUUCGAUGACUCCCACGAGUUUUUAAUCUCUUGUUUAAUAAAUUCCUCUAUUAUCCACCAUGCCUCAAACUUAAAGCUUUGACUCCCUUUAAAAGUCUUGUCCUUGUCAUUAUUAAUAAGUAAUGGACAAUGUUCUGAAAUCGAAUGUACCAAGUGAUGAAUAGCUCCUUUUGGGAAAAGAUGCAUCCAUUUUUAGUUUGCCACGCCUCUAUCUAGUCGUUCUUUAAUAUUUGUUUCCGGUAGGUUCCCUCUCUCUUAUGUAAACCAAACCCCUGAAUACCCCACAUCCAUUAAUUGACAUUCAUCUAAAACCUCACGGAAAGCUUCCAUUCUUUUUUCCUCCCUCAGUUGACCUCCACUUUUUCAAAAGAAUACAUUAUUUCAUUAAAAUCACCACAUACCAGCCAUGGGUGAUUUUGAUUUUGACCCAACCUCCUUAACAAAUUCCACGAGUCAUCCUUAUUGGUAACAUAAUGCGAGCCAUAGAACCCUGUAAAUCUCCACUCUUGAUUGACAUUAUUCUCCUUUACCAGCACAUCAAUAUGGUUUUUUGAGAAAUUGUUUAGCCGAAUCGUAAUUCCAGCUUUCCAUGCCAUAGAAAUUCCACCUCUAGAGCCUUCUACUCCUACAUCAAUCUCAUUCUCAAAACCACAUUUCCUCAUAAUUCUUUCCAUACGCUUACCAUCAAUUUUGGUUUCCAUAAGGAAAACUAUUUGGGGUUUAUGUUACUUUAGCAAAAAUCGAAGCCUUCUUGCUGCCCGUGGACUCCCCAAUCCACGGACGUUCCAACAAAUGGUUUUCACUGUGUCCGGUCGGCUUGCCAUCUGGCAGUGGCCGAUCUAUUUUGAAUGGUAAUACCACUUUACUUUAGAAUUUCUGCCGUCAAAAGUGUGUCUCCGUCAUUGUGAAAGUCUUAAUCAACAUAUUUCACUCUUUUUGCUUCUGUUUCACAAGAUUUUCUGUUUUCGUCAUCUACAAUUUCUAUAUCCUCCGAUUUCCUCUUCCUCAAUAUACUCUCUUUGUUACCACUUUCCAUCUCUCUUGCUGCCUCUAGCUCUUCCAUCUUGGCUUUUUGGCUGGUUUCGAUAGUCCUUGAUUAUUAAUUUCCCCAUUCUCUUUUCCUUUGCUAAUUAUCGCUUUCUCCUGUAACACUAUCGUAUUCUCCUGUCCUGUAAGAUGCGCAUUAUCCUGACUUCUGUGGGCAGUACCACUGUUCCCCGUCUCUUGAAAAUUUGGCUCAGAGAUUCUCUCUAUAUCACCUGUAUAUGAACAUUGAGACUGUAUCUUCUUUGAAAGGGCACUAAACUUUAGACUCUCCUUUCCAAUAAAAUUUACUUCUGCUUUUAGUGCUAAAGAAAAAGGAGGAUCAUCUUUGAAUUUGUUUUUUUUCUGUAGGUGUAGACUUAAGACAUUCA
rnacentral:lncRNA from 1 species